ensembl:lncRNA
ACCAGCUCUUCCAUAAGUUAAAGUGUGCAUCUGAGUUGAAGCUGAAACAUACUGUUGUGGAGCUGGUGUCUGUUAGACAUAACACUGGCACAGUUUAACGUAGACAUAAAGCCCUUAUUAUUGUUUUUAGAGUAUGUUGUUGUCUUUCAGAUCGAGAAGCUGAAUGCAGUGGGCUGCAGGCACAUACUUUUUCUUGAGUACCCUAACAAGGAGGUCAAGAUGCUGCUGACGGAGGGGCUCAAAUUACGUUCAGGGGAGAAGAUAUGUGUUAAUAACAUGAACAUGAUCUACAGCAUGAUAGUUGAAGGAAAGGCAGUGCCGGCGGACCCUUCUAGCAACCAGGCCUCAAUCGGUAAUCUGCAACUGGGUCCAGAAGAGGAGACCAUUGUUGUGGUUUUAAAUUUCGAAACCAUUCAAGACCCACCACCACAAGUAGGUGUGCUUAGUAUAGCUUUAUUGUUAUCUUUCAUAUUUUUAUGAGAGUUUUCUUUACCAGCAUAUUAUUAUCAUUGUUGUAGUAUAUUAUUAUCAUCGUAUAUUCUGUGUGUACACCUUUUGCAGAGACUCUCCUUUAAGCCAGCCCUGCCACCACCACCAACGAGAGGGCAGAGAUUGGCACUGAGCCUGACUCGUACACGGUGCGAAUUCGAAUGGUCUGAAGAUCAUAUGUCCACACACACGGCAUGAAUGAGUUUAUCUGAAAAUCGUACGUACGAAAAUCAACACGAUUUUAUAACCUGCGAAUUCCAGAAACAAUCUCACGAAGUUCAUAGACGCGUUCGACUUGAAGCACCGCUGCACACAAGGAUCACUGUAUGACAUUAAAGUACUGCGAGAGCGAUAAGAGAGCACACAUAUCCAAUGCAUUCGAAUCGCUCUUGCCGUAGUUUGAUGUCAUACAUGUGAUCACUCUGUGCAGCGCUGCUUCAAGUCGAACGCACCUAAUAUAACUCUCCCUCUCUCAUAACCAGGGGCGGCGUUAGGGGUGGGCUAAGGGGGCUGGAGCCCUGAAUGUUUUUAUUACUACCAUGACAUCAAUGCAUUUUCAUGCCCAAUAAAGUAAUUCAUAUUAGAAUUUAAUUAAAUAAAUAAAUAUCUCUCGACUCUCACGUCUAUAGUGUCUGUCAAUUUACGUGGUGUCAUUCACACCUGACGAAAACCGCCCACUGAGUCUAGUGCUUCUGACUGACAUGUAAACUGGCCAACCAUCGAUGAACAGCUUCAGGUAUCGGUAAAUUUUAAUCAUAGUAUUAUAUUUCUUUUUCAUUUUUAAGGUGUGUCUGAUUUAACGUUACAUUUUGAACAGCUAACAGUUAACGGUUGCGCAGCAACUGUCUCUAGGACACACACACACAUAGAGAGAGAGCGGUUAUAAUGUUUGGUUUGCACGGUCGGUGGCAGACUUUUCGUGUCAGGGCAACAAUGCAAUAAACAAGAUAAUAAUAAAAAGACAUAUUUCGCAAAGGAAAUGGUUCCAAACAAAGCAUGUUGUUGUGCUCUGCAGCAACACACAGUGUGUUAACUGAAUAAAUUUGCUUGAGUAAAUGAUUCACUGACCCAUUCAUAAAAAGCAGUUGCUUACUUUAUUUCUGAAUUAAUCAUCCGUUUCAAACGAUUCCAUUGAUUAAAUGACUGACCGACUCACUCAUUAAGGCAGUGGCAUGCCGCCAUCUAGUGGCAAAGUACCAUUCAUUUUUUUUUUUUUAUAUUUCUGUAUUCCAAUUUUUAUAUUUGAUGGAUUUUUCUGGGCUAUGCCCCGGAUCUCAACUCACUCUAGAACCGUCCCUGCUCAUAACUGCAUAUAAAAUAUUGAUACAAGUUGUGACUGUUUCCUGACACGUACAGGUUAUUUUUCAGCAAUAGGAAACAGGGACGUUUGUUCACCCUGUGUGUGUGUGUGUGUGUGUUCUUGUAUAUGGUUUAUAAAUAUCUGAAAUAGGUAUUACAACGUAAACAUGGUUUGUGAGGACAAUCCUGUGCCCUCGUAAACCAAAUGGCUUUAAAAAAUACUAUACGAUGUUUAAUAGAAAUUUUAAACAUGCAUUUUCCGUGAUGGAUAGAGGUAUAGUGUAUGAGGAUAUACAUUAUAGAAUACAGUUACGUCUAUGGAGAGUCCCUGUAAACUACAUGUGCGUGUGAGAGAGAGAGACAGAGAGAGAGAGAGAGAGAGAGAGAGAGAGAGAGAGAAAACUAAAAAGACAUUGGAGCACGUUGCUAGAAACCUCAUACAGUGCUCGUUGUUCCUGUUAGACUUCAGCGAGUUUAUCCUCCUUGGUCAAUAGUCCACAUUCGCCGUGGCGCUGCCAUCUUCGUCUUUCUUCUUCUGUGGUUUUCCUAGUUCGUGAUUGGUCAACUUCAGAUAAAUCAACAAAUCAACUCGUUCAACCGCACGUCACAAAUUCAAACCGAUAGCUCACAAACUUUUUAGACAUGUUUAAAAAUGAUCGGGAGGUCGGGAAGUGCUCGCCUUUAGUCUUAGAAGCAUUUAAGUGGAAAUUAAGGGAACUUGACAGGUUGGAUCAGAGGCUCAGAUAGCUGGUUUAUUGCAGUGUAAUACAGCAGGAUACAGACUUAAGUGGAAUAUUCUAUAGUAGGGGUGGCACAGUUCAACUUUUUCACGGUUCGGUUUGUUUCACGGUUUUAGAGUCACGGUUUUCAGUACAGUUUGGUAUGUGUUAUGUUUAUGGAAAACUAUACUUUCUAAUAAAAAAAAAGAAAAAGAAUAUUCUAUUAAACUACAAGCAACAGCACAAAUAAAUACAACAGAGUAAAGAUACAAACAAUAAACAGUGAAUUUCAGUUUUUUUAUUUUAUUUUUAUUUUUAGGCAGGUCUAGCAUAUGUUUUUAGGUACAGAAAUUGAAUGAAGUUAUCAAAUGUAAAACAGCAUUACAUAUUGGACUGUAUAAAUUUUACUUGCUUUUUAAUCAAGAGCAGUGAGUGAUUUCUUUGUUGUUGCUGUUCGAUUAAUAUAAAGACUGUUACUUUAAGAGAAUGCACUGAUCCAACAGGCCUACGUUAAGCCGGCUAUGUCUGCUGUAGGAUACUUACCAAAACUGGCAUUUUGACAUAAUUUUUGUGUGAAUUUGUCCAUUUAAACACAAUACUUCAGAGAGAGCUUAUAUUUGCGCACGUUCUGAGGCGCGGGUUUGCGCGCAUGCACAAAUCUUCUUACUGUGUGCGCGAGCUCGCGUCUUCGGGCUCUUAAAUGUUUAAACUGACAAAGCUUAAAUGAGUUUAGUUUAAACAGAUAUCAACGUGUGCUGUUAAGAUCUCAUCUGUGCACGCGUGCUGUCAACACUGGGGUGAUGACGAAAUAAAUGUCUGCUCAUAUUCCAGCAUGAGUCAUUCACAUUGAACAAGAGUGCAUUGAACAAGUUUGUCCAGGGUUUUUGUUGUUUUCUCAUUACUCAUCGCUAUUGUUGUAAUGUCUGGGAAUCAAGAAUGUGUAUUCAUCAGCAGAAACAUAUUAGCUGAACCCUGUUUGUUUUACAUGCUAUUUAUAGUAAACCAUAUUACAGAUGCUUUGUCAGAUUUAAGUUGAAC